rnacentral:precursor_RNA from 1 species
UUGCUACACGGUACACUCGUCCUUUGGUUAUCCGCUUGCUAACCAAAGGACGAGUGUACGAGUGAUAAAG